UCGAGGAUCUUCGGCAAUGAGCGCAAGCUUGACCGAGCGACGCCGCGUGAGCGAUGAAGGCCUUCGGGUUGUAAAGCUCUUUAGUGGGGGAGAAAAGCCGAAAGGUGUGAUCUAUCCCAAAAAUAAGCACGGGCUAAGUUCGUGCCAGCAGCCGCGGUAAGACGAACCGUGCGAACGUUAUUCGGAAUCACUGGGCUUAAAGGGCGCGUAGGCGGGCUGUCAAGUCUGGGGUGAAAUCCCGCGGCUCAACCGUGGAACUGCCUCAGAUACUGACGGCCUCGAGGAAGGUAGGGGCAUGCGGAACUGUAGGUGGAGCGGUGAAAUGCGUUGAUAUCUACAGGAACUCCGGUGGCGAAAGCGGCGUGCUGGACCUUUUCUGACGCUGAGGCGCGAAAGCUAGGGGAGCAAACGGGAUUAGAUACCCCCGUAGUCC
rnacentral:rRNA from 1 species